rnacentral:ncRNA from 1 species
AGGUACGUCAUGAAGGGAAAGAGUAGAAAGAGACCUUUGUCAAAGAGAGGAUGGAAAAGGUGGAAGCCAUCCCGGAGGAUCUUUUGAAGUGCGUCCUGGAGCGUUUGAAGGGUGAACAGAUCCUUCCGUAAGGCUGCGUUAAGGCUGUGAGUGGAGCAGGAAACUGUUCAAUCAGAGUGGAACCGCGGAAAUCCUUCGUCUCUGGA